rnacentral:rRNA from 1 species
CCUACGGGAGGCAGCAGUGGGGGAUCUUGCACAAUGGGGGAAACCCUGAUGCAGCGACGCCGCGUGGGUGAAGAAGCGCCUCGGCGCGUAAAGCCCUGUCAGCAGGGAAGAAAAUGACGGUACCUGAAGAAGUAGACCCGGCUAACUACGUGCCAGCAGCCGCGGUAAUACGGAGGGGGCAAGCGUUAUCCGGAUUUACUGGGUGUAAAGGGGGCGCAGACGGAGAGUCAGGCCAGGAGUGAAAGCCCGGGGCCCAACCGCGGGACUGCUGUUGGAACUGCGUGGCUAGAGUGCAGGAGAGGUAGGCGGAAUUCCUGGGGUAGCGGUGAAAUGCGUAGAUAUCAGGAAGAACACCGGUGGCGAAGGCGGCCUGCUGGACUGCAACUGACGUUGAGGCCCGAAAGCGUGGGGAGCAAACAGGAUUAGAUACCCUGGUAGUC